UUAGGAAUAUUGGGCAAUGGAGGGAACUCUGACCCAGCAACGCCGCGUGAAGGAAGAAGGUUUUCGGAUUGUAAACUUCUGAUCUAUGGGAAGAAGAAGAUGACGGUACCAUAGGAGAAAGCCACGGCUAACUACGUGCCAGCAGCCGCGGUAAUACGUAGGUGGCGAGCGUUGUCCGGAAUGACUGGGCGUAAAGGGAGCGUAGGUGGUUUGUUAAGUUAGGUGUGAAAGCCCGGGGCUCAACUUCGGAACUGCACUUAAAACUGACAAACUAGAGUGCAGGAGGGGUAAACGGAAUUUCUAGUGUAGCGGUGAAAUGCGUAGAUAUUAGGAAGAACACCGGAGGCGAAGGCGGUUUACUGGACUGCAACUGACACUGAGGCUCGAAAGCGUGGGGAGCAAACAGG
rnacentral:rRNA from 1 species